CGGCGACUAGGGGCGGGGCCAUGACUCACCCGAACCGCGCCCCCCGCCCGCGGACGAGCGCACGUGAGCGCGCGUCGCGCUGUUUUCUAAGUUUAGCUCGGCGGCUUCGGUGGGGUCGGGCGAGGCAGCUGCUAGAGGGGAUGCUCUGUCAAAAUGAGUGAAUUAACCAAGAGGAAGGCCUCAGAGCCUGGAAUCAGGGGCUCCAGCUAGUUGCAAAGGAAUAAAGCAUUCAGAAUCCAGACACAAGUUCUCCACGGGGGAGUACAUGCACUGUGCUUACUUUAAGGGGAGAGAGUGUCCAUCAUCUCACACCCAGGAGAUCUACCGUAACCACCAUGUCCACGACUUAGAUGUUGGAAGAGUCAUGUCUGCAGUCCUCCAGGGCAGCACGGUGCCCGUGAGGUAAGGUGCCCUGCUUUGCUCGGUAUCUUAGUAGAAAGGCACCUGCUCAGAAAACUGCCAGGCUCCUCUUCUCCCAGGGAGAAUCUGUGGUCCAGGGGAUCCCCUUCUGAAAGAAGGUCUGCUUAGAUUUGUCAGGGAAAGUCGUUAAGCAAUGCAAACAACAAAAAUGAGCCCCAAACCAAAGACCCUAAAAAAGAAGGAGAAGAAGACACUGGAAGGAGAGGCAAUUCUGUCUACCCAGCAGGCACCAAUCUCACCUCCAAUCAGAAGCCUGGAGUCAAAGCUUGUCUCUGAUACAGACUGGCUGUGUGGCUUUGGGGAGCUCACCCAACCUCUCUGAUUCUCCAAAAUUGUGCUUUGUAAAAUAAGCAUAAUGAUGCCAAUCUUCUGGGAUUAAGGAUUACAUUCGUAUGAGUUUCACAAAAUGGAAAAUGCCUUGUGAUUAUGGAGCGGAUUGUAAAUGUAUCUGCCUAAA